rnacentral:tRNA from 1 species
GUGCUGCUGGCUCAGUUGGUAGAGCAUGUGACUCUUGAUCUUGGGGUUCUGAGUUCAAGCCUCAGGGUGGGCA